rnacentral:ncRNA from 1 species
CUAUUUUUCACCGGCACCUGCAAAAUCAGGUGCCGGGAUUGGUCUCCUGAAAC